UACGUAGGGUGCGAGCGUUAAUCGGAAUUACUGGACGUAAAGGGUGCGCAGGCGGUUAUAUAAGACAGAUGUGAAAUCCCCGGGCUCAACCUGGGAACUGCAUUUGUGACUGCAUGGCUAGAGUGCGGCAGAGGGGGAUGGAAUUCCGCGUGUAGCAGUGAAAUGCGUAGAUAUGCGGAGGAACACCGAUGGCGAAGGCAAUCCCCUGGGCCUGCACUGACGCUCAUGCACGAAAGCGUGGGGAGCAAACAGG
rnacentral:rRNA from 1 species